rnacentral:hammerhead_ribozyme from 1 species
AUCCAGAUGCCCAGUCCCAAAUAGGACGAAAUGCGCGUUAUCCUGGAU